GCAAUGGCUACUCGUGUGUGCCGGUCGCUCUGUCAGAAGGUCUGGACAUUAGACUAGGAACGGCUGUCACGGAAAUCGAAUACUAUGGACCUGGUGUCACUGUCAAGGCUGUCAACCCACGGGCACUCAACCAACCGCAAACAUUCAAAGGCGAUGUGGUGCUCUGCACGCUUCCACUGGGCGUGCUGAAAGUUGCAGUCGCGAACAACGGGCAGAACCAACAGAACUUUAUCAAGUUCGACCCGCCUCUGCCGGAUUGGAAGGUGGCAGCCAUCAAACGCCUUGGCUAUGGCAACCUGAACAAGGUGAUACUGUGCUUCGAGCGAACCUUCUGGGACCCCAGCGCUAACCUCUUCGGACAUGUCGGCACAACUACUGCAAGC